UACGUAGGUGGCAAGCGUUGUCCGGAUUUACUGGGCGUAAAGGGAGCGUAGGCGGACUUUUAAGUGAGAUGUGAAAUACCCGGGCUCAACUUGGGUGCUGCAUUUCAAACUGGAAGUCUAGAGUGCAGGAGAGGAGAAUGGAAUUCCUAGUGUAGCGGUGAAAUGCAUAGAGAUUAGGAAGAACACCAGUGGCGAAGGCGAUUCUCUGGACUGUAACUGACGCUGAGGCUCGAAAGCGUGGGGAGCAAACAGGAUUAGAUA
rnacentral:rRNA from 1 species